rnacentral:rRNA from 1 species
AAUAUUUCGCAAUGGACGGAAGUCUGACGCAGCGACGCCGCGUGAGCGAUGAAGGCCUUCGGGUCGUAAAGCUCUGUCCUUGGGGAGGAAGGUCUUCGGACUUGACGGUACCCAAGAACAAAGCCCCCGCUAACCACGUGCCCGCAGUCGCGGUAAUACGGAGGGGUCGAGCGUUGUCCGGAAUUACUGGGCGUAAAGGGUGCGUAUGCGGUCCUUUAAGUCAGAUGUGAAAGGCCACGGCUUAACCGUGGGAUUGCAUUUGAAACUGGAGGGCUUGAGUGUCGGAGAGGGUAGUGGAAUUCCCAGUGUAGCGGUGAAAUGCGUUGAUAUUGGGAGGAACACCAGUGGCGAAGGCGACUACCUGGACGAUAACUGACGCUGAGGCACGAAAGCUAGGGGAGCAAAC